rnacentral:rRNA from 1 species
GACGAACGCUGGCGGCGUGCUUAACACAUGCAAGUCGAACGGAAAGGCCCCUUUGGGGGUACUCGAGUGGCGAACGGGUGAGUAACACGUGAGUAACCCGCCCUUGACUUCGGGAUAACUUCAGGAAACUGGGGCUAAUACCGGAUAGGAAUCCUUGCUGCAUGGUGGGGGUUGGAAAGCUUCGGCGGUUUUGGAUGGACUCGCGGCUUAUCAGCUUGUUGGUGGGGUAGUGGCUUACCAAGGCUUUGACGGGUAGCCGGCCUGAGAGGGCGACCGGCCACAUUGGGACUGAGAUACGGCCCAGACUCCUACGGGAGGCAGCAGUGGGGAAUAUUGCACAAUGGGCGGAAGCCUGAUGCAGCAACGCCGCGUGCGGGAUGACGGCCUUCGGGUUGUAAACCGCUUUCAGCAGGGGCGAAGCUUGUGGUGACGGUACCUGCAGAAGAAGCACCGGCUAACUACGUG